rnacentral:lncRNA from 1 species
CUCCACCCCACAUACUGAAGCCAGAAUAAGCCACGACUUCGUGUGCUCCACGCGAGGGCCGCCUGACGCCAGAGUUUCUCCCGCAUCUGCCAUCAGAGGACCGUCGCCCUCAGGAGCCCGAGCUCCCGCGGCUUCUCCGAAAUUGGAGUUCCAGAAGCCAUCCUUGGAUAACAUCUCUAUAAUCUCCUGGGAGAAUCCUUCUUCGAAGAAAUCCUCCAUCAGAGGAGAGUUCUUGGUCUCAGUCACAUCUGAAAGAGCAAGUGCAAAUGUCUCCUGUUCACUAAGGGUGAGAACACAGACAAGAGCAAGUAGGGGUGAUAGAUCUUGAGUCCAGCCUAUCCAUCAAGGGACCCAAAGGGGUGACCCAUGUGGAACUGGCAUCACAGAAAACAGACAGAGCCCAUUCCCAGGAGGGUCAAGAAGGGAGUUGGGAAACCAUAGGGUUCAACGAGGAGGGAGAUUCUACCAUUACCUUCACACCUAAGUGACUGACCAAGUUCCCUAAAAAAUCGCCUGGACUCACCUGCUUCUACUCUCCACUCUAUCCUGUACUGUCACCAAAAUCUUCCUCCUCAUAUCCUGCAUCCUCUAUCCCAGACAACACCCCGCUCUCCCCACACCACCAUCCAUCCAGUUCUCCAUGCUAGAAUCCUGGGAGUCAACCUCCUCCCUACCUCCCUCAACUUGGCACUAUUUUCAUUUGGUCUCUAUCGAAAUGUCUCAACUCCCUUCCUCUCCUCUCUUUAUCACUGACUCAGCAUCUGACCCCAGGCUGCUCAUUGGUCUCCUGUUUGUCUGUCUCUCUCUCUCUCUAGUCUUCCACACUAGCCCUAAAGGGCUUUGUAGUUAAUGGAUCUGACUAUAUCACUCCUCUGAUUAAACCCUUCCAUGGCUUCCUGCCUGGAGAAAAGAAAUGAGUGUAUUAGCCCAGUGUUCUUUGUGCUGACCUCAUAGAACUCUUGCGGUUCCCUAAAUCCACCAGACUUUCUCCUCUGUGCCUUUAAUGGUCCCUCAUGCUGGAUGGCACUUCCUGGACUAACUCCUCUAAGUCUUUUAAUACCCAGCUUAUCACCCUUCUCUGAAAGGCUUCCCUGACAACCCCAUCCCCAUUCUGCUUUAAGUCCCCUGCCCUGUAUUCUCUGAAAACCAGCUGAGCACUGACCAUCCUCUACCAUAACAGGUUAUGAAAGGGUCUGACCCCUGACCCUUACCAGAAGGUAAGUUCUUUAAUGGGGACCUUCCACUGCUCAUCCAUCCACUGCCACAGAGGCGGCCACGAGAAAGAUUCACAGGACAGAGUAAUUCCCAUUCAUGGUAUGCUUGUUCACAGGCAGGAGUGCCUCAGGCACUCUGUUACACUCGACAACCUCCUGUAAGGUAGGCACGUUUCUGCUUUCUUACAGGUAAGUGAGCAGAAGACUGAGGAUUUGAACCCCUCUGACUAUAUAUAUAUAUAUAUAUAUAUAUAUUUUUUUUUUUUUUUUUGGAGACUGAGUCUUGCCCUGUUGCCCAGGCUGAAGUGCUGCACGAUCUCAGCUCAACGCAACCUCUGCCUCCUGGGUUCAAGUGAUUCUCCUGCCUCAGCCUCCCGAGUAGCUGGGACUGCAGGUGCCCUCCACCACGCCCAGCUAAUUUUUGUAUUUUUAGUAGAGACAGAGUUUCAGCAUGUUGGCCAGGCUGGUCUCGAACUCCUGACCUCAAGUGACCGGCCUGCCUCGCCCUCCCAAAGUGCUGGGAUUACAGGUAUGAGCCACCACGCCUGGCCCCCAUAUUCUUAACUACCAAGCUGUAUGCUCUCUGGGAUCCUUCACAAAACAUGAAUGUCACUGCUCUGCUGUAUGCCUCCAGUCUCCCCAUCUCUCCUCUCCUCCAUCAUCAUACCUUUUCCAGCCUGUCCCUUGUGCAGUUCUUGGCUCACCAUCUGAGUAUCUAUGAGACUGCUUAAAGUCUCUCUGCCUGGAAUUAAAACUUGCAAAUGAAAGCCUUCUGAAACCACAUCUUGUUCUGAAUUGUCACCUUUGCCUCUGCUCAUCUCUCCCACAGAUAUCCAGCUCACUCUCCUCACCACACUUGUGCUCAUGUUGUUCCCUCGGCCUCAAAUGCACCAACAGACAUGUAAUAGGCACCCCUUAUAUGCCAAGCAUGAUGUCAGGAGCUGGGAAUACAGGGUGAAUCAGCUAAGCCCUGCUUCCAAGAGCGGCAUGCUGUUAAAGGGGAAAGACGCUUAUGUGCUCCCAGGACAAGGGGAUGGAAGCCAGCGAGAAGCAGAGUGAAGUCCUGAAGCUGAGCGUUGUAAUGUCUCGGUAGACCUGUGGGAAAGCUGGCUGCAGCCUCAGGAUGGAGGUCUGGAAGACAGAAGGACAUGGAGGACCAUCCAGACACUCAGUGAGAACCUCCUGGCUCUCCUGACUUUUCUAUGCUUUAUCCUGCACGUGGCUCCUGUGUGUGGACGAGGUGCUGCACUGGGCGACUCUGGGGAUGCCUGUCCUGUAGGGUUCCCAGUCCAGUGAUGGAGAGGGAGCCAAACAAUCACAAUCCAGGGUGAUCAAAGCUGUGACAGCUGGGGCUGGGGAUACAAAGGACUUGUGACAGCUCUUUAAUGGGCAGGAUCUGCCAGGUGGAGAGGCACGUACUUCCUUAGCCAUUCAUGAUUUAUUCACUGACCCAUGGGCCACACAUUGCCUGAGGCCUCCAUGGGCCAGGGACAGAAAAUGUCAGGGUCCCAGAGCCCAAGCAGUCCUGAGCCAUACCCUCCACAAGCUUCCCCAAGGAAGGGAACAGAGUCACCAUCCAGGAGGGAUACAGGCCACAGCGGAGAAAACGCCACUGCUGUCUUUGAAGACUGAGAAGCCAUGAGUCAAGCAAUACAGGUGACCUCCAGAAGCUGGCAACGGGCCAGGAAGGACUAUCUACGUGCUGGAGCCUCCAGAAGGAACAUGGUGGCCCUGCCAACACCUCGCCUCCAGCCCAGCCACAUGCAUUUGGAACUCCUGGCCUCCAGGACUGUAACAUAAUAAAAGUGUGCUGGUGGAAGCCACUGUGUUUGUGGUAUGUGUAACAGCAGCAAUAGGAAACGGAUACACUACUCAUACAUUCACACAAAUGGGUGAAGGGGCAGUCGAGGUAAACACACUUCUUACUGUGGGCUGUAGUUUAAAAAUUCAAAAAGACACUGAGGUAGGACCUCCCACGAGAUGCUUCUUAGCACACACUGGCCAGUCUGGAGAAAGUCUGCCCCAAUGUGAUGAGAUUCUAUCAAAUGAUAGUUUCCACCGUGUGUUAUCUUUUACUUCUUUCAUCUUUUGGAGUAAAUUAUUUUUCUGGUUCUUCAAAAAGAAAGAACUGAGGCAACAGAGAGGGAAAAUGAGUUAAUCAGGUGACACUGAUGGGGAGCUGGGGUGAUAUGGCCUUGGAGCUGCACAGACCUUAGCUGGAGUCUGGGCCCUGCUGCUGUCUCACUGUGUGACACUGGUGUGCAGAAGAGGGCGACACAGCAGGCUGGCUGCUCUCCUGGGAAAAGCCUGCUGGCAAGGCUGGAUUUCAGGGGGGUACCCCGUGUCUCCAGAACUGAAGAGACACGCUCCCUGGACCUAAACUGUGCAAACACGGUGGCUUACACCUGCUUUCCUUCUGGGGGGCUGGAAUUUUGGAAUGUGCCAGGCAGAGGAGCCCACAUGACCAGCCCCCAGUAAAAACCCUGGCACUGAGUCUCUGAUGAGCUUCCCUGGUGGACAGCAUUUCACACGCGAUAUCACAUUCUACAGUAUUGCUGGGGGAAUUAAGCAUGUCCCAUGUGACUCCCCUGAGAGAAUUCUGGAAGCUUGUGCCUGGCUUCCUUGGACUUUGCCCCAUGUACCUCCUCCCUUUGCUGACUGUGCUCUGAAUCUUUUCACUGUAGUAAGUCAUAGCCAUGAGUCUGACUACAGGAUGAGUCCUGGGAAUCCUAGCCAAUCACUGAAUCUGUGGGUGCUCCUGGGGACACUGACACAGCUGGGAAGGUGACUGCCACUCUUUUAACCUCAGUUUCAGACCAAUCGGCAAAAGAGGGACAACCCAGCUUCUUCAUGGGGUGACUGGAGGAUUGAACAAGCAAGUCCUAAGAGCUGCUACUCAAUCAUUCAUUAGUUUAGAGCUGUCUGCUGGGCCCUAGAGCAGGUACUGUUCGUUCCAAACACUGGGGACACGCCCUGUCCUCACACAGCUCCCGCUCUGAAUGAUACAAUGGUAGUUAGAACGUGAGGGAGCGACAGACAAGAUGAGUAGGAGAGGAGGUAUGGAGUUCUAACAGGGUCCCAGGUUAAACUUUAAAAAUGUAAGCCCUGAGAGCCGCUUAGGCAGAGGGGAGGGCAACUGGAAGACUUUGAAGUAUCAGCUUGAAGAAUGACUGACUACAAGUAGGAAAGUGGUGAAGACAAGGCUGGGGAGGCAGAUAGGGGCCAGAGCAGGGUUUCCCAGGCUUAGCACUACUGACACUGGCGUGGGCCAAUCCUUGGUUGUGGGGCUGUGCUGUGCACUGUAGGAUGUGUGGCAGCCUCCCUUGGUUCCACCAGCUAGAUGCUAGCGGCACGCUGCGCUGGCCCAAGGAGUAACAAUCAAAAAUGUCUCCACACAUUGCCAAUGUCUCCUCGGCCAGCUGAGAACUGCUGGGCUAGGUCAUGCUGAUUCUGAGGAGCCCAGGAGCCAGGACUUCACCCUGUGGGUGGUAGAGAGCAUGGGUGAUCACCAAGCAGGGCAGUGAGUAGGCCCCUGGGGACAGGCAACACUCACCCAGCAGGAAGAGGUCCUGGCAAUUGUCCAACGCUGUGUCCCAGAACGUGUCCCCCUGUUCCAGCCCGAGCUGCUCCCAGUCUCCCAAGGUGAAGUCCAUGCCGACAUCCUUGAGGGUCACAAAUUCCUGAAACACAGUACACUAUUGGUCACUCAGAGGCUGGGGUCAGGGAGGAGCCCAACAGCUCACUCAGGGCACUCCCAGCCCUCAAUCUGCCAGGGCUUUGGCAAAAACCAUCCCAUCCUCAGCCUCACAAGAAUCUUGAGAUGUAAGAGACUGGAAACCCCUGUAUUUUGUAGGCAAAGAAAAGGACCUUGACUUUGACCAGGGGACAGGAUGUCAACCGAAGUUAACACAGGUGGGACUGAACCCAGGUCUGCCUGAUCCUAAAAAUCUAUUUUACGCUUUUGCUUUAAGUGUUCAUUCAAGACUUAUUUUGUAAACUUUCAAACAUACAUACAAGUAGAGAUGUAUAUAAUUAACACCCAUGAACUCAUCACCCAGGGGUCAUCUGAUUUCACCUGUGAAUACUUCAGUAUGAACAGUAACUCCUUAAUCACUGAACACCUAGACCACAUUCAAAAUCUGUAUACAGAUUAGUCUGACAUCUCAGUGGUGUGUCUUUAUAGCUAGCUCGUCUCAAUCAGAAUCCAGGGGGCCCAUACCCUGUAACUGAUGUG